rnacentral:rRNA from 1 species
GACGAACGCUGGCGGCGUGCUUAACACAUGCAAGUCGAACGGAAAGGCCCUGCUUUUGUGGGGUGCUCGAGUGGCGAACGGGUGAGUAACACGUGAGUAACCUGCCCUUGACUUUGGGAUAACUUCAGGAAACUGGGGCUAAUACCGGAUAGGAGCUCCUGCUGCAUGGUGGGGGUUGGAAAGUUUCGGCGGUUGGGGAUGGACUCGCGGCUUAUCAGCUUGUUGGUGGGGUAGUGGCUUACCAAGGCUUUGACGGGUAGCCGGCCUGAGAGGGUGACCGGCCACAUUGGGACUGAGAUACGGCCCAGACUCCUACGGGAGGCAGCAGUGGGAAAUAUUGCACAAUGGGCGGAAGCCUGAUGCAGCAACGCCGCGUGCGGGAUAACGGCCUUCGAGUUGUAAACCGCUUUCGCAUGUGACGAAGCGUGAGUGACGGUAAUGGGUAAAGAAGCACCGGCUAACUACGUG